GUUGCUUAUUUUUUUCAUUUUAAAUUCCAUGGAUUAUAUCAAUUUCUUUUAAUUUCUUUUUUGAGAAUAUUCUGCUUACAGUUGUGCCCAAUCAUUUAUGAACUCCUUUCAUGAUACUUAUGUUAUUGCUUCCUCCAUAUAUCCAUAUAGCCUCACCUAAUGCACCGAUUAUUUAGCGUCCUAUCUAAGUAAUGAUGAAAUGAGUGAGAAGUAAGCUGAAAUGCGACGUUUGCCAGUUUUCUAGCAGAUCCAUAAGACUGCUACCCAGCCUGGCUUCCAUGUGCAUGCCAAAAAAAUAUAAAUAUGUAUAUUAACUUAUAAAAAUAUUUUUAUUUUUAUGAUAAAAUAGUGUCACUUUUCCGUUUAAAAUGUAAAUUCAAUAAAAAACCUGCAGGCGUUAUGAAAUUAUUCAUACUUAAGUGUCAUAUAAUAUUAAUAUAUAGAUUUUGAGUGUUGGAAAAUAAAAAUACAAAAAUAUCAAAUCAAAACAUUAUAUUGAAUAUUAAUUGUUUUAGUCACCUAUACCAAUGACAACCUGACUUAAAACUAAAAAGUAAAUUGUACUUCAAAGGCACUUUUCUCUUAGAUACCACCAAGUGAGACUUAUUAAACGCGUAAUUCUAA